rnacentral:rRNA from 1 species
UGGGGAAUAUUGCACAAUGGGCGCAAGCCUGAUGCAGCAACGCCGCGUGAGGGACGACGGCCUUCGGGUUGUAAACCUCUUUUAGCAGGGAAGCGGUACCUGCAGAAAAAGCACCGGCUAACUACGUGCCAGCAGCCGCGGUAAUACGUAGGGUGCAAGCGUUGUCCGGAAUUAUUGGGCGUAAAGAGCUCGUAGGCGGUUUGUCGCGUCUGCUGUGAAAACCCGAGGCUCAACCUCGGGCCUGCAGUGGGUACGGGCAGACUAGAGUGCGGUAGGGGAGAUUGGAAUUCCUGGUGUAGCGGUGGAAUGCGCAGAUAUCAGGAGGAACACCGGCGGCGAAGGCGGCACUCUGGGCGGGUAUUGACGCUGAGGAGCGAAAGGUGGGUAGCAAACAGGAUUAGAUACCCGAGUAGU